rnacentral:misc_RNA from 1 species
AACGGUCUAUACCUGCGGUACCUGCGGAGGGAUCAUUACAGUGCCGCGGGGUGCGCCGGUCACGGCCUCCGCCCCGCACGCGCCCACACGUGUCUACCGUACCUUCUGUUGCCUCGGCGGGCCCGUCGCUCCUUCCCUCCACCACGGCGGGAAGGCGCGGCCGCCGGGUGGCACCUGCCGCCCGGUCCGCGCCCGCCAGAGGGCCACUUGAACCCUAUUCUGUGAAUCCUGUGACGUCUG